rnacentral:tRNA from 1 species
GGCGGCCGCUCGCGCGCGGGUGAGGGCGUGCGCCGGCCGUCGCUCGGCGCCGCGGUGCCGUUCGAGCCGAGCGGGUCGGGGUCGCCGUCGAACAGGUGCUG